CACUUUUCCCAUCUAUAAAAUGGGGUGUAGGGCUUUAGUCAGAGGAGGCUGGGUUAUUUUGUAGUACCAAACAGCUCCAAAAAGUCAGUCCAGAAAACACACAGGUUUCCGUCUCAGUCAUAUUCCCCAUCCUCACUGUUGGCUGGGCUUCUACAUCAUCACCAUCUUCACACCCAGACCCAGACCACAGAGAGGAAAGAGCCUGGCCAAGCACUCACACUGUCUCAAAGCUUACACCCAGGUAGGGCACACAUCACUUCUCUCUUCACUGGCAAAGCACGUCCUACUGAAGCAUCUCAGUGCAAGUGGGAGGGGAAGUACAGCCUUGCCAGCAUCUGGAAAGAGCGUCAUGGGUAGCCUUGGUGACUUUCACAGGGGGCACUUCUCAGAGUGGUGGUGAGGAUUCCAGCAGAGGACAUGUGCAGAGCUGUAGAGCCUGACAUUUAGUUACCACUGGUGAGCAGUGAUGCUGUGGUCAUGGCCGUGGUAAUGACGCUGAGCAGACAGGUCAAGCUUAUCUAGGGGCCCCCGGUUUGAUAAUCCUUUGUCUUUGUGAUCUUUUCCUCCAGUGCCUGUGUCAUGAGGUUCUCGGGUUCCUGAGUUCUGAGUACUGUGCUUUGAACUGGGGAUCAGAGUGCCAUAAUCUUGGGAGUCCUGCAGACUGGAUCUCCUAAGGCUAAUCACCUGCAUGAACUGCUCUGUGGAAUUUAUUUGCCCUCCCACCCAUCUGGCCUUUCCAAGAGCUGACAGCACCGUGGGACAGGUCAGUCAUGGAGGCCAGAAGCCUGACAUCAAGUGUGGGCACCACCAGGGUCUGGCUCCAUUUAGAGGCUCCAGGGGAGGAUCCUUCCUUGAGGUCUCUGGUGGCUGCCAGCCACCCAGCUGGCUGUCCCGUCCGUGACCCCCUCUCCUCCUGCCCUGUGCCCUUCGACCCACAGCCUCCAGAUGGCUGUCCAGUCGAGCAGCUGUGGUGAGGACACUAAGGUUGGGGUUCCUGGUAAAACGCCACUCAGGAGGAGGGGGUCUGCCUUAAAACAAAUGGAAGCCUUUAAACUACAAGGAACAGAAAAUCCACUGGUAUGUUUGUAGCCUGGGAUAAAUCAUUCUCAAAAGUGUGGCAAAUGCAGAUGCCAGCUCAGCGUAAAUAAGGAAAGAGAUGAAGGAUGAGAAAGAAAAUAAAAAGCCUUUAUUCCAGAAGAGAGGACAGGGCAAAGAAGAGGGAGCAGCUAAGUUUCUGUUCUAACAGAGAGCGACUGAGUUCAGUCCUCGUGUCUCUGGCACCUUGGGGAAAGUGGGCCAUGCCAAUUCUCUCUGCUCCUCAUGACGGGGCUGACAGGCUCAAGAAAAUGCAGGCGCCUGGGAGAAAGCCGACAGUUUGCUGUCAUGUCCCGACCUCCGUAGUGGGGCUGGCACCCUCUAUUUGGAGUGGCUGGUGAGCGGGCCCCGAGGUGCCCUGGAGAGAUAAGGAGAUGAGGUGCGUUCUACAAAGUGGAAAAUGGGUUCUGAUCAAACAUGAGCCCGUGGGAAAGACUGUGAAGUUCUGAGCAACCUGCAUCUGCCUUCCUGUCGGUGUCCUAGUGUGGGGAGGUGGGAGGGCGGCAUGGGACAGGAGGUUGAGGGGUGGCACUUACUGAGUGCUUACUACUAAGGCAGAGUGGGUACCGCGCUGGGCGGCUUGCAGACAUGACGAGGUGGUGAGUGCUGGUUCCAUUUUGCAGACCAGGAAACCAAGGCACAAGGAUUCUUAGGAAGUGGCGAGACCCAGGUCUGCCUGACCUUAAGACGUCAGAUGUUGUGUCUUUCCUCAAGGACCUCCGCAGCCAAAACUAAUCAGUACAGAGCUUCCAGAGAAGCAGACCCCUCUACCCCUGCCCCAGGUGCCUGAAGUGGCGUCCAGGGUACGGCUUUCUUAUUUGUAAGCAGAAAUGAAACCCCUGGGAGGAGACAUUCCAGAGCCAUUUCACUUUUACUUGAACAUGAGCAGUGCCUGCUCAUGUGCAGAUGCGAUCACUGCGCCUGUGACAGUAAAAAUACCAACGGUGUCAUUAGCGGCAACCCUCCUGGGCAUGCCCAUGCUCUAAUGACUUGAGCGUCUUCCCUGCUCUUUACAAGAAGCCGCCUUUCUGAGGUGCUCAGUCUUACGGGUUCUUUCCUUCAGAGAGAGCCUGGAUUCUUGUUUGGGACCCACAUUUCUUGGUGCGGAAGCAGCAGCAAAGAACGAGGCCUGGGAUUCAGCCAAACCUGGCUUUGAAUUCUUGCUGUAUCCGUGAGCACAACACUCAGCCUCUCGAGCCUCUGGCAGGAUGGGGGACACCUCCUACUGAGAGCCUGCUCUGGGCAUUUUGUGGAUAAAAGCCAACAAGUGACUGCAUCUUUACAUGCCAUUUAUCAUCAUCCGUCCUUUCCAGAAUGACCUGGGGCCUCCUUUCCUUCACUGGCCUCCAAAAGUCAUUUCACUGGGCUGUGGAAAU